rnacentral:rRNA from 1 species
AACGAACGCUGGCGGCAUGCCUAACACAUGCAAGUCGAACGAGACCUUCGGGUCUAGUGGCGCACGGGUGCGUAACGCGUGGGAAUCUGCCCUUCGGUUCGGAAUAACUCAGGGAAACUUUAGCUAAUACCGGAUGAUGUCUUCGGACCAAAGAGUUAUCGCCGAAGGAUGAGCCCGCGUGGGAUUAGCGAGUUGGUGAGGUAAAGGCUCACCAAGGCGACGAUACGUAGCUGGUCUGAGAGGCUGAUCAGCCCCACUGGGACUGUGACCCGGCCAAGACUCCUACGGGAGGCAGAAGUGCUGAAUAUUGGACAAUGGGCGAAAGCCUGAUCCAGCAAUGCCGCGUGAGUGAUGAACGCCUUAGGGUUGUAAAGCUCUGUUACCCGGGAUGAUAAUGACAGUACCGGGAGAAUAAGCCCCGGCUAACUCCGUGCCAGCCGCCGCAGUAACAC